GACGAACGCUGGCGGCGUGCUUAACACAUGCAAGUCGAACGGUGAAGGGGUCUGCUUUUGUGGGCCCUGGAUGAGUGGCGAACGGGUGAGUAACACGUGAGUAACCUGCCCCCUUCUUCUGGAUAACCGCAUGAAAGUGUGGCUAAUACGGGAUAUUCUGGGUCUGUCGCAUGAUGGGUCUGGGAAAGAUUGCGCCUUCGGGUGUCUUUGGUGGGGGAUGCGCUCGCGGCCUAUCUGCUUGUUGGUGGGGUGAUGGCCUACGAAGGCGGUGAGGGGUAGCCGGCCUGAGAGGGUCGACGGUGACACUGAGACUGAGACACGGCCCAGACUCCUACGGGAGGCAGCAGUGGGGAAUAUUGCACAGUGGGCGCAAGCCUGAUGCAGCGACGCCGCGUGGAGGAUGGAGGCCUUCGGGUUGUAAGCCGCUUUCGACAGUGAAGCAGGCCUGCUCCUUGUGGGUGGGUUGACGGUAGCUGGAGAAGAAGCGCCGGCUAACUACGUG
rnacentral:rRNA from 1 species